rnacentral:rRNA from 1 species
AAUGAACGCUGGCGGCGCGCCUAAUACAUGCAAGUCGAGCGAGAAGACGUAGCAAUACGUUUGUAAAGCGGCGAACGGGUGAGGAAUACAUGGGUAACCUACCCUCGAGUGGGGAAUAACUAGCCGAAAGGUUAGCUAAUACCGCGUACGCUCCUUGGACUUCGGUUCAGGGAGGAAAGCGAUACCGUGGGUAUCGCGCUCUUGGUUGGGCUCAUGUCCUAUCAGCUUGUUGGUGAGGUAACGGCUCACCAAGGCUUCGACGGGUAGCUGGUCUGAGAGGACGAUCAGCCACACUGGCACUGCGACACGGGCCAGACUCCUACGGAGGCAGCAGUAAGGAAUAUUGCGCAAUGGGCGAAAGCCUGACGCAGCGACGCCGCGUGGGGGA